UACAGAGGUCUCAAGCGUUGUUCGGAUUCAUUGGGCGUAAAGGGUGUGUAGGUGGCGCCGUAAGUCGGGUGUGAAAUUUCGGAGCUUAACUCCGAAACGGCAUUCGAUACUGCGGUGCUUGAGGACUGGAGAGGAGACUGGAAUUCAUGGUGUAGCAGUGAAAUGCGUAGAGAUCAUGAGGAAGACCAGUGGCGAAGGCGGGUCUCUGGACAGUUCCUGACACUGAGACACGAAGGCCAGGGGAGCAAACGGG
rnacentral:rRNA from 1 species